rnacentral:rRNA from 1 species
AUACGGAGGGUGCAAGCGUUACUCGGAAUCACUGGGCGUAAAGGACGCGUAGGCGGGUUGUCAAGUCAGAUGUGAAAUCCUACAGCUUAACUGUAGAACUGCAUUUGAAACUGGCAACCUAGAGUAUGGGAGGGGGAGAUGGAAUUAGUGGUGUAGGGGUAAAAUCCGUAGAUAUCACUAGGAAUACCGAAAGCGAAGGCGAUCUCCUGGAACAUAACUGACGCUAAGGCGUGAAAGCGUGGGGAGCAAACGGGAUUAGAUACCCUAGUAGUCC